rnacentral:lncRNA from 1 species
UCAUUUUAACCAUUCCAGUAUACGCCGGAUAGUCGCGAUGAUCUAUUGCUACUUACCUAAGGUACACUAGAUCCGGGUGUAGGAUCUUUCACUCAAACAAUCCCUUAAAAGAAGGAACAAUCCGAAAACAUAAAUGAUAUUUUUUUUUAUUUUUUUUUUAUUUUUAAGAUGGACCUCUCUCAUCAUCCCCAGCAGAGUCGCCAGUUCUGUCAUACGGUGAACUGACUUUAUUGGAUUUUUAAUCGCAAUGUCGCGGUUAGCAAGAGUCGCCACCGACUUUUCUUUUAUCCCAUAAGGAAAGGUGGAAAAGAACAGGAAAGACCUUAAUUCAGAUUCUUAGGUUCGGGAGGUACGUUAUACAAAGGGAAGGUGUUAGCACCCUUUGUAUCCAUGGUUAUCCAUGGGCUCUUAAUUGCUCAAUCAUUUAUGUUUUCCUAGUUUGAAAA